rnacentral:snRNA from 1 species
AUCGCUUCUCGGCCUUUUGGCUAAGAUCAAAGUGUAGUAUCUUGGCCAAAAUCCAGUAGCGAUCCUCUCCAUUGGAGUCUCUCAUGUGAUUACUUCAUUUUGUGCUUUUCCUGUGCUGAUCAUUGACAUUUCCUUUUACCAGGUCUACGUAAGGCAUCAACUCCUUGUAGUUGUGUGACCUUUA